rnacentral:antisense_RNA from 1 species
AGUAUUUCCCUCCAGAGUGUAGCUCCUGUGAAAUGCUCCAAGAUGAUCUCGGAUGCAAAUUCAGCCAUGCAAGAGUGAUGAAAUGCUUGCAUUAUUUCCAAAGAUGAAUUAAGACAAUGAGGCAGCUCUUCAUUUGUCAAGAUCCAGCACAAAGGUGCUCAAGAAAUAUUGAUAUGAACAAAAAUCAAACCAAUCUGGCUAAGGAUUCUCUACACUGGAAAUUACCUGUGGACAAGUUACUCUGUAGCCAGGGUGCUGGUACCAUCCAAACAGAUAAUUCAGAGGAGACAGGGGACACCAAAAUAAUAAGAUUUUCAAAGGAUUCUGUGAGGCCCCCAAAACUUGAGAACCUCUUGGAUUCAUCUGUCCACUCUGGUUUCUACCCCCAGAAUCUAACGUGGCCUCACUCCUAGAUUACCUCCAGCACAAGAGAAAGUGCAUAUUCUGUCUGCUCUACUGGGCCAGGAGAGGAGGGAAAGAACAGGAGACAGUAAGGAUAAAAUGAAAGCAACAUAAAUGCGCAGCGUAAAAUAGAAAAAGCAGCUAUUGCAUCUCCCUCAUUUCAGAUUAUUUGUCAGAUAUGCCCUUCCCCACACAUGUGCAUAUGCAUGUUCCUUUACAUCACAGUUCUGUCCAUCUGCCCG